UCACCGCGCCCUCACACUCACCGAGAGGGCCGAGAGGGGCCCCCAGCCCCGCCCGCUGCAUCACCCCUGGCUCCCGGCGCGUACUGAGCUCCGUCUCGCUGUCACAAACGUCCCAGAUGUCCCGAAUCUUCAGUGUAAUAUUUACCGCGUACCAAGCAGAAGCUUCAAAAAACACCCGUUAAAAAAAAACAAAAACAAAAACAAAACCGAAAGGGUUUUAGAAGUUGACCUGAAACGUUUUAUUUAUUCAAUGCAGCAGCUAAACCAAGGCAAGCAGCCUGGCUUUCCUUCUCAUUGUUCCACUACAGACUUUUAAAUUAAUGUGAGAUGGCUUCUAAAAGACCUUAACACACAGCCAAAUGCAAAUAAAGAGUCAGGUACUGCCUGUUAAAAGUACGUGGCAUGAAGCACUGUGGGCGUUGCAUCUGGAAAGACAGAGACAUGACAAGAACAGCAUCAGUGGUUGCCUCAACCCAUUCCCUGUUGUCAAAGAUUGCAGUGGAACCUGAACUGGAUGUCAUAUGACUGGAUCACAGAAAACAUCCACAGAAAAGCCCAUGAGAGAAGGUCAUUAUUCCCUGCUUUGAUGGUUGGAGUGUUACCAGACGAAAUGGAGAUGUAGUCAAAAGUAACCACUGCUGUUGGCUCUUCAGUUCUGGGCUGCCUGCAACCAGAUUUCAAAACUUCUAGAAACAGAAUGUUUUGCAAGUGCAGCUGAGAAUGCACAGCUGAGGAGGAAACACAUGCAGUGAGACUCUGAAAAAAUUACUGUAAGUGAUUUUAACUAUGCACUGUAAUUUUAUGAUGGCAGCAUUUACGGGGCUUAAUCAUGGCUUAACCUUACCUGAGUCCAAACCUCUGGAUUCAUUCACUUUAAGUGACUCAACAAGUGAGGUGGUGAGCUUGCAGAAAACAUUGUUCUCUGCCACUCAGCCAUGGUUCUUUCUCAGAAAGAAAGCAUGUAUAUCAUAUGAAGUUGUAAAGUAAACUUUAUUCUGAAGAUACUUUACACCUGUGUAAGCCUGUAUAUACCUAUGUGCAGAAACGUUUCUUCAGAUUCCAAGGAAAAUGCUCACUACUGUUUACUCUUAGUAACUAUACAUCAAACGUCCAGCCAAGGACCAUCCUUGCUUUAUCAAAUUCUAAAUAAAUAUAAUUGUUCAAGCUCUCAAGCCCUAUGGAUGACAGUAAGGUCACAAACAUGCCUAAGGUGUAUAAGGAUAUAAGUGUGAAACAAUGAGAAAAAACAAGCAUCACUUAAGAGCUACUUCUGCUUGUAGGAUCUUUUGCCAUCCGUAAUGUUGCAGGGCUGAAACCACACAUGAUUUUUGAAAUGGUGACUGAUUCUCCAGAGCUGACCAUCAAAAUCAGAGAAAAACCCAAUCUUCAAAUCAAAGUACUCAUUUUGUCACCUAGCUAUGUCUUUUAUAGAUUUUCUGGCCAUUUUCCAUUAUCCUUUAAAAAAUCAGAGCAUGUAGAUUCUUCCAGGUGACAUUAAUGUUGUUUCUUUCUGGGAAUUGCCUAAUGAAGAUUAAGCGGAGGAAGUAGCACUGCAAGGUGUAGAGUGAGGGGUCCCAGGAGAGACUUCAGAGCCUAUAGAUAAUGCUCAGAUGGAGAGAGCUUGCUCAGUUGGGCCACAGAAGAGCUGGGAAUAAAACCUGCUAGGGAGCCGAGGGGAAGCCACAGAGUUUGCUGCUACUUAGAAAGUUAGCGAAAUGACUGAAAACUGGAAGCCAGCUCCGAUUAAACCCUGCCAGCGCUUUGCAAGAGGAAUUGCAAGGAAUUUACAAGCAUUUUCUGCUCUGAGCUCCUCAUUUUGAGUUUACUGCAAAUAUAUAUACUAGCCUGUAUUCUAACACAGUCUGGCUCUUGAAUGGAAAAGCCACUUGAUCCACUUUGGAAAGUUCACUUUGUGGGAGGGGGUUGGCAGACCUUGCCUCAUUUCAUCUCUUCCUCAUUCCAUGAUGCAUGCUGUACAGUAAAGGAGAGCAACAGAGUGGUGACAAGGGUUUCUGAGCUUUGCCUUCAGAGAGGAAAUGAGGCAAAAGCUAUUUCCAGAAGCAAGGUGAGACUAUGAUGGACCAGUUGUCCAUCCUAGUAUGGCAAAUUCUGUAAGGACCUCCAAAACUUCCAGUAAUUUCCUGCCCAGUAGCUAGUUAAAAACAUAAGGGUUUUUUUGGCUCAGCAAUGGAUGUUGAUUAUUUCUUUUCAGUGGGUUAAAAAAUAAAGCACAGUCAUUGUUCUCCAUUAUAAAAGAACACCUGAACUGAAAAAAAACCCCACAUACACCAGUGAGAAUGGUUGUUAAGGCACUUCUUAUUCUUUGACACAUGGAUUCUAAAAUAACCUGACAUUAGUUUUAUCAAAUAUGAUGUUGUCUUGCUAGUGUAAUAUCUUACGAAAACUCAGUUAAUCAGUCUUUCUUGGAAAAUGGGAAGACACUGCCAUAGAUGAUACUACUUAGCAAGCGAAUUAUAUUUUCAUGUGUAAUUUGUGUUACUGCUCUUUUAUUUUUUUAUUUUUUUUUCUGAAACAGAAAACUCAUGUUUCACACACAUUUGUAAAGAAAGCCUCUAUCAUUACAGGACUAAGGAGAAGAAGGAAACAGGGAUAAAGUAACCUGCUUACAGACGUGCUGUAGCUGUGGUGACCUUUUUUGCAUUUUCAGCUCAAUAGAAACAAGUACCAGACAAAAGCAGUGCAGACAUUUAACAGACAGCAGCCAGGAAUGUGGUGACCAUUUGCUGGCACAUGACCAUAACUGAGCACUACUGAAAAACUGUCAAGACCCAAUUCAUUUUUAAAAGUAUUCUCUGAGAUAAAAAUAGCAUCUCCUUGAGUAAAACAGUACAUUGUGGUUUGAAAUCUGGGCAUCCGAAAUUUGUUUGAAAUGUGUUUAUGGCAAAACAAACAAAUGCACAAAUACUUGGUGUACUUGAUAGUUUAUCAGUCCCUUUGUCAACAAAUUAGCUUCUGCAGCUUUAAGACUUGUCUUCAUAGUCAGACAUCUGCACCUUAAGUUAGUUAGCUGCUAAUUAAGAUAUUGCUUAAAAUAUAUUUUCCCCAGUCAGUGUGUACAAAUACAACAAGUGUAUUCCAGGACCGGACCAAGAAUAAAUAUUUGUGGUUUGAUGAAAACAUAGGGGAGUGUUCAUAUCAACUUCUAUAAACAAGUGAAGUGACUUUAAAUAACCCAGCAUUAUUUAUUUUGACGUAAAGGGUCCUAUGCUGAUAUAAACAUCCUCAAUGCAAAAUUACUUGUGACUGGUUUUGUAAGCACAAGAUCAAAAACAAAUUUCUGGGGACAGUUUAAACAGGAGAAUAUUAGUCUUAGUCACCAUUAUCACCUCCCCCAGGAUGAAGAGCAAGAGACUUUAUAUUAAGAAAUUGCAAAAUAAUUUGUACAUACAUACGAUAAACACGAUAAACAGUUUGGCAGAUGAUUUUGUAUAUUCCACAAGAGUUUUGGUUGCAAAGGUUCUUCUUUCAUUUAUAUUCUUUUCAUAUGUUCCCAUAACUAUAACCAAUCCCUCCGUUCUUGAAUGCAGGAAUAUACUUGACCUCAUUGCAGUUUUACAUUAAGAAGUUCCAGAGGCUAAAUAUGGAUUUUUUUAAGUCCUUCCUCUUCAUCAUUUUGGAAUUCCUCUAUUUUCAAUUUUUUUUAAAGCUUACAUUAUUAGACAGCUGCAUAGAUACUAAUACUUCUCCUUUUACAGCAUUCAUAGUUUCAAAUAGUUUUUUCACUUUUUUUUUUUUAAUUCAAUUCCUUUGUAAAAUAAACAUGUCUAAUAUUUUAUUCCUCUCUUCAAAUGAAAUUUUUACAUUCCUGUGCUAUUCUUUAGUCUGUCUCUGAGAAUGCUGUAUGUUUGGCUUGUAUUUUGGGGAGUGUAAAACUCAAAAUUGGACAAAGAAUUAUAAGAGUAAAAAGAACUAUCUUCAUAAACUCAUUGUAAUGUUUUCUGUAUUAGAUUUUAUCCCAUUCUUUAUAUAUCCAAAUA